ACGCACUGGCGUCCAGUGCAGCGCUGCUCACCGUAGCCAGGACACAGGCCCAGCCUGGUGUCCGUCACAAAGGAACGCGAGCACACUGUGUGGAUAUCCACACAGUGCCUGUUAUUUGGCCAGAAAAAGGAAAGCAGCACCGAUGCGUGCUGCACCGUGGGUGAACUUUGGAAACAUACCUAGACACAGAAGGUCACCUGUUGUGCAGUUCCAUCUGAACUUUGACCUGGACCGGGGCGUGUUUCCAGUGGUCAUCCAGGCUGUGGUGGACGAAGGAGAUGUGGUGGAAGUGACCGGCCAUGCCCACGUGCUCUUGGCCGCCUUUGAAAAGCACAUGGACGGCAGCUUCUCUGUGAAGCCUUUAAAGCAGAAGCAAAUUGUGGACCGGGUCAGCUACCUCCUGCAGGAGAUCUACGGCAUCGAGAACAAGAACAACCAGGAGACCAAGCCCUCGGAUGACGAGAACAGCGACAACAGCAAUGAGUGUGUGGUGUGCCUGUCCGACCUGCGGGACACGCUGAUCCUGCCCUGCCGCCACCUGUGCCUCUGUACCUCCUGCGCUGACACGCUGCG
rnacentral:sRNA from 1 species